GAUGAACGCUGGCGGCGUGCCUAAUACAUGCAAGUCGAGCGAAGCGGGGACGGGUGAGUAACACGUGGAUAACCACCUAUAAGACUGGGAUAACUUCGGGAAACCGGAGCUAAACCGGAUAAUUAUAGAUGGAUUCUCGCUGCAUUAGCUAGAUGUGAAGGUAACUGCUUACCAAGGCAACGAUGCAUAGCCGACCGGAGAGGGUUAUCGGCCACCCUGGAACUGAGACACGGUCCAGACUCCUACGGGAGACAGCAGUAGGGAAUCUUCCGCAAUGGGCGAAAGCCUGACGGAGCGACGCCGCGUGAGUGAUGAAGGUCUUCGGAUCGUAAAACUCUGUUAUUAGGGAAGCGGUACCUAAUCAGAAAGCCACGGCUAACUACGUGCCAGCAGCCGCGGUAAUAC
rnacentral:rRNA from 1 species